UUUCACACGAAUUGGUUAGAUGGUGCUGAUCAAAAGAGUAUAAACAAUGUGUAUUAUAUUCUUACAUUUAUAUUUUUAAUAUUUAUCAGCAACACAUAUGCAUUCAAAGAAAGUAAAGAUUCAACGAAAGAAAAAGCACUCUUUCAUAUACUUGAACAAGGACUGAUAAAGCUUGCAGAAAGAGAUAUACACUAAAUAUGUAGUGUAACUCUGGCUGAUGCAAUGUACUGUUUAUUUCGAGCUUGUUGUCUAAAGAGUUUAUUUAUAUUGAAAGCUAAACCACGAUAUGUGCUCCUUUGUAUCUGUGUGAUUGUGCUGCUGGACUAUUUUGGAGCAUUCACACAUCUAUUUGAGAUAACAUACGAUGAAAACUUUGUUUAUCCAUAUAAGGGCAAUAUACAUGAGCUAGCAAAUGCAUUGCGACAUAAUGAAAAGCCUGAUGUUGAACCUAUAAAUGAAUACAAGUAUUCUUUUGUGCUACACAACCCACAAAAAUGCACAGAAGCUGGCUAUAGUACAUUCCAUGUUGUAUAUGUAGUAAAGACUGCUUUAGAACAUUUUGAAAGAAGAGCUGCCAUACGUAAGACAUGGGGAUAUGAAAAAAGAUUCUUUGAUGUGCCAUUAAGAACCAUUUUCUUAGUAGGCAUACAUCCAGAUAAUGAGGAAUUACAAGCAAAACUAAAAAUAGAAGCAGCAAAAUACAAAGACAUUGUACAAGCAGAUUUUGUAGACACAUACUAUAACAACACUAUAAAAACAAUGAUGGGCUUUAAGUGGAUAGUAAAGUAUUGUUCUAAUUCAAAGUUUUAUAUGUUUUGCGAUGAUGAUAUGUAUAUAUCAGUAAAAAAUGCAUUAAGAUUUGUCAGAAAUCCAGCUAAAUAUCCAGGUUACUUUAAAGAACCCAAGAAAUUAUCUGCACAUAAAAGAGAGAUUAAGCUUUCCGAUAUGAUAAUUAGUAAUCUUAGUAAUCAAAGUAUGAUUCAUGAUGCAACAGUUAAAAGUUCGUCUAUGCAAAGCUUUAUUAUUAAUAAAUCGGCAAAAAAUAAUUCGAAAAGUAAUAUACAUGCAGGACAAAAUGAAAGAGUCAAUGAAAAUUUUAAAAUGGAAGAUAAACAGUUGAUUAGAUUAAAUAUGUCCAUGUUAAAUAGAACAAAACGACAGCUCUUCGAUUUCGAGCUCCCAGACGACGCUAGACUGUUUGCAGGAUUCGUAUUUAUAUCCUCACCACACCGGCAUAGAUCCUCUAAAUGGUAUGUCUCAUUAAAAGAAUACCCAUACAAUUUAUGGCCACCCUACGUCACAGCUGGUGCAUACAUCUUGUCUAAAGAAGCUCUCUUGGACAUGUACUACACUAGUUUUUACACCAAACACUUCAGAUUCGACGAUAUUUUUCUAGGUCUAGUAGCAAAGAAAGCUGAAAUAGAGCCAUUUCAUUGUGAAGACUUCCAUUUUUAUAAGAAAGAAUAUACGAAAUAUAAUUAUAAAUAUGUCAUAGCAUCUCAUGGAUAUGGAGAUCCAAACGAACUCUUACAAGUAUGGAACGAACAAAAAGCUCUCGGAAAUGCUUAAAUUUAUAAACAUAAAUAUGCAAGAAUAUUUGUAAUAAUAUAGUAAAAGUAUAUAAUAUAUAUUCCAUUUACAUGGAUAUUUAACUCUUUCCAUAUUUUAAAAUAAUGAACAAUCAAACAUUACAAUGCAUAUUGUUGCUAAAAUUAUUAUCUAAUACAUUAGUAUAUAUCGCUAUUUUAGUGAUAUAUAAAUAUAUUUCAAAAAUAUAUGGUGAUAUAAUCUACAGUAAUAUAGCAGUCUCAUUAUUUAUUAUAAAAGAUAUGGUGAUAUUUUCAUCUCUAGAAUAGAUUUUAUGCUACAUAAUCAGUCUUAUGCAUAUAUAUAUAUAUACACAUGUUGCAAUAAAAAAUUGACGUUAUAUGUAUUAUAUAAAAAUACAUUAUAUACUGAAUAUACAGUCAAACAUAACACAUUAAUAUAACUGAUAUAAAUUAGAUAUAAAUUUUAUUAUGAUCAAAAAAUAAUUUAGAAUUAAUAAUGCUAAAAUUCUGUAUACACAAUUUUGUUCUUGUUAGUUGGUAAUAACUAUGUUUCUGUGAUAAUGCCUGUCAAUAAUUCAAUAAAUAUACUUCCAUUAUUCACCAAGCUUUUUAUCAAGCUUCAAUUCUUAUUGUCGAUAUUGCUGCUUGUCAAUGUUUACUUUGACUAAAGUUUGAUCCAAACUUACAGCUUCUUUUUUUAUCAUAUUAAGCAAUAAUUGUGAGCUCUCCAAAAUCUAUAAUAAAAAUAUAUAUAAUUUAUGAGUUAAAUAUUAUUUUGUGAAAGAAUAUAAGUAUAUAUAAGUUAUAAACAUACAACCUUUACCUUCAUGUAAGCUGUUUCAGUAUCUGCUAUUGUUCUGUCAUAUUCAUUCCUGACUCCAAUUCUCUUUGCCAAACUGUCAUUUAAAAGUGUAAGUUUACAUGACAUUUUCUCGAUUUCGCGUUGUAAAUUAUUUUUUUCUUCUUCCUGGGACUCUAUCUGAGCUUGGAGUUCAGCUCGUUUCAGUUUCAUCUCUUCUAAACCUAAAACGUAUUGCAUAUACAUAUGUAAUCUAUCUAAUUAGGAAUUAGAUUAGUACAGUCGAAAAAAACAGGUUUUAUCUUUGAGAAAAUUGAACAAUAACUUUCCAUGUAAAAUACAUUGCGAUUUACCUAUAUUAAUUUUUAGGUUAAACGAUAUCACUUACAUUUAACGAGCUCCUGGUUAUACGUUUGUAGGGCAGCUCCGUGCUGAGACAUCAUGAACCCUCCAUUAACGCAAAAUUUUCAUAGAAAACGUGUAUAAUGAUCAAAAAGUUAUGAGAAACGGAUAAUGUUUACUAACAAUACGUUGUCAAGACAUUUAUAUAGACGAGAUUUUAGUUUGGCGCGCAAUUCUCUACCAACGAUAUUUUGCGCAUGCGUACCAGAAACUACAAAAAUACGAAUGUGUGUUCUCUUUUAGUAAAUUUUUAUGUAAAGAAUUUUUUAAAUCUCCCAUUAAUUCUCGUGGAAAUUCAACUAAACACACAUAAUGUGAUCAUCUUAUAUGGAAACACUUAUAUUUUCUAUUCUUAAAAAUGUAUGUACGAACAUAAUAACAAAUUUCUGAAGCUGCAUUUUAUAAUCUUAUAAUUUCACAUGAGCCUUUUUCCUGAUCCCACAAAUCGCUUGUUUCAGGAAAGACAUUACUAUAAAAACCGUGAUUUUCCAGCUAACACAAAAGAAAACUUAGUAACAUUAACACACGAUGCGUAAACUAUACAAGGACCUUCUAAUCGAUUAUCUCAUUUGAUUUCCGUAAUCACUCCUGUCUCAAUGGCUGAAGAGAAUCUUCUAUUUCAUAAGCAAAUAUAUAUUUAUAUAAAACAAAAGUUUUCAACGCUAUUUUGCGUGAAACAAAGUUUCUCUGUUAGAGGUUAGGUUUUUAGACGGAAGUUAACUCGAUAAUUUUAAAUUUGUGCAAACUCUGUGCAGCCACGGACGGGUGAGAUGAAUAAUCGCAGGCGAUCAUAAGAAGGACAACUCGUGCUACACCUGAGCUCGCCUUUUAAAGGCGUCACAGGAGCGUGGUGGAAAAGCGCACACUACGAUGAAUGCGCCUUUCGCUCGGGAGCACCAACCAUUCCAGCUAUUCCAGCCGAGAAGUGAACGAGUGAGCGAGCGAGCGAACGAACGAGCGAACGAACGCGCGAUACAGACGGACAGACCGACGGACGUUUCGCUACGAUCGUGUCUCGAUUUUGCGCUUCGAUCGGCCGAACGCGAUGCACGACGCCGCUGGUCUGCGCGAACGUCGUCGCCGUCGAGAUCGAUCAUCAAUCGUCGUGAGUGCUCUUUGAUACAAGUGCAUGAGACGCGUACAAACAAUCACGAGGAGGCGAGGAGAGAAGCGCACGGUAUGGGCCAGAAGCGGUGAAUCAGUUCGCCAAAAACUGAGCGAGCGAUCGAUAUGUCGCGAUCCAGCUUUACGCGCGUUUCCACGAGACGACGAGGAAUCGGCUGUUAGCUGGUUGACAGUAAAAAUAACACG